UUCCACCACUCCCUGGCGAGUCACGACAACGGAUGCCGCUCCACUCCCUACAACUGAUUCUACGUGGCGAGCCAUGGUGACAGCCACGACUCCACCCCAUUACUCUACAUGAUAAAUUCCUCCUGGCCCCAUACGACCCACGACGAGACGAUCAUAAACAGUCACUAUCAAUCCUUUGCUCCCCCCAUCUAUAAAAGAGAGACCCC
rnacentral:lncRNA from 1 species